AUUAAGAAUUUAAAUGAAAACUUCAUGAAAUCCAGGUGUGCUGACAUUUAAACGUCUGUGGACGGCGUGCAGGUUCUUGAUUGCAUCAUCUCCUGGGCCAGAAUUAGACCUUGACUGAGCUCCUUGACACCGUUAUGUCCCAGAAGUUUUUUAAUUGGAUUCAGGCGUUAGGAACUUGAGGGCGGGUCUUUAUCAUCCAGGAAGUGCCGACUCAUUCUGGAUAGUAGUGCAGGGCUCUGGACUAAACCAAUAAGAAGACGACGGGGUCCUCCUCUCCAGUCCAAUAAUAGGUGAAUGGAUGCUCUAAUAAUGGAAGUGGUCACAACUGCAUCAUGAUCUGCUAAGAACUUCCACAUAAGAGCAUCACAUGCACAAAAGCAGCUCCAAAGCAUGAUGCUUCCGCCCCCAUGCUCUACAGUGGCUUUGAUCAUCUUGGGAUGCAACUCAACAUUCUUCUCCCCCCAAACACAGCAAGUAGCUUUUAUGCUAAAGAGUUUCAUUUUGGUCUCAUCUGACCACAUGAAAUUCUCACAAUCCUCAUCAAGAUGCUUUACUCUUCUGUAAACAAUAGACGGGCCUGGACAUGUGCUGGCUCAAGCAGGGGACCUUUGGAGCGCUGCAGGGUUUGACUCCAUAAAGACGUUGUGUGGUAUCAUCUUUCUUCAGGUCAUUGACCAGGUCCUCCAAGUAGUUCUGGGCUGUUUCCUCACCAUUCUCAAGGUAAUGUGUGUACCACCAUGUGAGAUCGUGAAUGAAGCUUUAAUAAUUAUAACAAUGGCUCUGACAGUUGAUGUCUUCUCUCCAAGCUGUUUGCCAAUUGUGGAUUAGUUCAUCCUAGACUUGCUCAGGUGAAUAAUCUUGUCCCUGGUGUCUUGGUCAUGGUAGAGAGGUUGUAGUCUGACUAUUUAAGGGUGAGGACAGGUGUCUUUUAUAAAUUUAUCCGUUCAAAGAUGUGACAUUAAUGCAGGUGAAUAGUGGAGGAUAGAAGAGCUUCUUAAAGGAGAUGUAACAUGUUUGUGAGGGACAAAAAAAACACGUUUUAAUUUCCUGGAUUUUAUUUUCUAAAUUAUGUCUCUCAAAGUUGAAAAUCUCUUAUCUUUUCAAGAGGAUAACCUGCAGAACUAGUGACUGCCAAAUACUUUUUUGACCCACUGCUGUAUAGGAUCACCUACUUUUAUUUUUUACAAUUAGUUAAGUUAAUAUUAGGAUGUGUACUUCUUUUGUACCUGAGUAACUACCUGAGAGUAACACCUA